AUUGAACGCUGGCGGCAUGCUUUACACAUGCAAGUCGAACGGCAGCGCGGGCUUCGGCCUGGCGGCGAGUGGCGGACGGGUGAGUAAUGCAUCGGAACGUGCCCAGUAGUGGGGGAGAGGCCGGCGAAAGCGGGAUUAAUACCGCAUACGAGCUGAGGGUGAAAGCGGGGGAGCGAAAGGCCUCGCGCUAUUGGAGCGGCCGAUGUCGGAUUAGCUAGUUGGUGGGGUAAAGGCUUACCAAGGCGACGAUCCGUAGCUGGUCUGAGAGGACGACCAGCCACACUGGAACUGAGACACGGCCCAGACUCCUACGGGAGGCAGCAGUGGGGAAUUUUGGACAAUGGGGGCAACCCUGAUCCAGCCAUGCCGCGUGCGGGAAGAAGGCCUUCGGGUUGUAAAGCGCUUUUGUUCGGGAAGAAAUGCUCUGGGCUAAUACCCCGGGGGGAUGACGGUACCGGAAGAAUAAGCACCGGCUAACUACGUG
rnacentral:rRNA from 1 species